rnacentral:rRNA from 1 species
UGAACGCUGGCGGCAGGCCUAACACAUGCAAGUCGAACGGUAACAGGAAGCAGCUUGCUGCUUCGCUGACGAGUGGCGGACGGGUGAGUAAUGUCUGGGAAACUGCCUGAUGGAGGGGGAUAACUACUGGAAACGGUAGCUAAUACCGCAUAAUGUCGCAAGACCAAAGAGGGGGACCUUCGGGCCUCUUGCCAUCGGAUGUGCCCAGAUGGGAUUAGCUAGUAGGUGGGGUAACGGCUCACCUAGGCGACGAUCCCUAGCUGGUCUGAGAGGAUGACCAGCCACACUGGAACUGAGACACGGUCCAGACUCCUACGGGAGGCAGCAGUGGGGAAUAUUGCACAAUGGGCGCAAGCCUGAUGCAGCCAUGCCGCGUGUAUGAAGAAGGCCUUCGGGUUGUAAAGUACUUUCAGCGGGGAGGAAGGCGAUAAGGUUAAUAACCUUGUCGAUUGACGUUACCCGCAGAAGAAGCACCGGCUAACUCCGUGCCAGCAGCCGCGGUAAUACGGAGGGUGCAAGCGUUAAUCGGAAUUACUGGGCGUAAAGCGCACGCAGGCGGUCUGUCAAGUCGGAUGUGAAAUCCCCGGGCUCAACCUGGGAACUGCAUUCGAAACUGGCAGGCUAGAGUCUUGUAGAGGGGGGUAGAAUUCCAGGUGUAGCGGUGAAAUGCGUAGAGAUCUGGAGGAAUACCGGUGGCGAAGGCGGCCCCCUGGACAAAGACUGACGCUCAGGUGCGAAAGCGUGGGGGAGCAAACAGGAUUAGAUACCCCUGGUAGUCCACGCCGUAAACGAUGUCGACUUGGAGGUUGUGCCCUUGAGGCGUGGCUUCCGGAGCUAACGCGUUAAGUCGACCGCCUGGGGAGUACGGCCGCAAGGUUAAAACUCAAAUGAAUUGACGGGGGCCCGCACAAGCGGUGGAGCAUGUGGUUUAAUUCGAUGCAACGCGAAGAACCUUACCUACUCUUGACAUCCAGAGAACUUUCCAGAGAUGGAUUGGUGCCUUCGGGAACUCUGAGACAGGUGCUGCAUGGCUGUCGUCAGCUCGUGUUGUGAAAUGUUGGGUUAAGUCCCGCAACGAGCGCAACCCUUAUCCUUUGUUGCCAGCGGUUAGGCCGGGAACUCAAAGGAGACUGCCAGUGAUAAACUGGAGGAAGGUGGGGAUGACGUCAAGUCAUCAUGGCCCUUACGAGUAGGGCUACACACGUGCUACAAUGGCGCAUACAAAGAGAAGCGACCUCGCGAGAGCAAGCGGACCUCAUAAAGUGCGUCGUAGUCCGGAUUGGAGUCUGCAACUCGACUCCAUGAAGUCGGAAUCGCUAGUAAUCGUGGAUCAGAAUGCCACGGUGAAUACGUUCCCGGGCCUUGUACUCACCGC